rnacentral:rRNA from 1 species
GCUGGCGGCGUGCCUAAUACAUGCAAGUAGAACGCUGAAGAGAGGAGCUUGCUCUUCUUGGAUGAGUUGCGAACGGGUGAGUAACGCGUAGGUAACCUGCCUUGUAGCGGGGGAUAACUAUUGGAAACGAUAGCUAAUACCGCAUAACAAUGGAUGACACAUGUCAUUUAUUUGAAAGGGGCAAUUGCUCCACUACAAGAUGGACCUGCGUUGUAUUAGCUAGUAGGUGAGGUAACGGCUCACCUAGGCGACGAUACAUAGCCGACCUGAGAGGGUGAUCGGCCACACUGGGACUGAGACACGGCCCAGACUCCUACGGGAGGCAGCAGUAGGGAAUCUUCGGCAAUGGGGGCAACCCUGACCGAGCAACGCCGCGUGAGUGAAGAAGGUUUUCGGAUCGUAAAGCUCUGUUGUAAGUCAAGAACGAGUGUGAGAGUGGAAAGUUCACACUGUGACGGUAGCUUACCAGAAAGGGACGGCUAACUACGUGCCAGCAGCCGCGGUAAUACGUAGGUCCCGAGCGUUGUCCGGAUUUAUUGGGCGUAAAGCGAGCGCAGGCGGUUUGAUAAGUCUGAAGUUAAAGGCUGUGGCUCAACCAUAGUUCGCUUUGGAAACUGUCAAACUUGAGUGCAGAAGGGGAGAGUGGAAUUCCAUGUGUAGCGGUGAAAUGCGUAGAUAUAUGGAGGAACACCGGUGGCGAAAGCGGCUCUCUGGUCUGUAACUGACGCUGAG